GACGAAGGAUGCAAGCGUUAUCCGGAUUCAUUGGGUUUAAAGGGAGCGUAGGUGGCCUUAUAAGUCAGCGGUGAAAUCUCUGGGCUUAACCCAGAAAUUGCCAUUGAUACUGUAGGGCUUGAGUACAGUUGCUGUGGGCGGAAUAUGACAUGUAGUGGUGAAAUACAUAGAGAUGUCAUAGAACACCGAUUGCGAAGGCAGCUCACAAAACUGUAACUGACACUGAGGCUCGAAAGUGUGGGGAUCAAACAGG
rnacentral:rRNA from 1 species